GUCUACGGCCAUGCCACCCUGAACCUCUCUGGUCUUGUCUGAUCUCAGAAGCUAAGCAGGGUUGUGCCUGGUUAGUACAUGGAUGGGAGACCACUUAGGAAGACCAGGUGCUGUAGGCA
rnacentral:rRNA from 1 species